rnacentral:rRNA from 1 species
CCCUUAGAUGUUCUGGGCUGCACGCGCGCUACACUGAUGCGCUCAACGAGUUUUAACCUUGCCUGGAAAGGUUGGGUAAUCUUUUUAAAACGCAUCGUGAUGGGGAUAGAUUAUUGCAAUUAUUAAUCUUCAACGAGGAAUUCCUAGUAAGCGCGAGUCAUCAGCUCGUGCCGAUUACGUCCCUGCCCUUUGUACACACCGCCCGUCGCUCCUACCGAUUGGGUGUGCUGGUGAAAUGUUCGGAUCGGCCGUUUGUCGCGGUUUCCGCGUCAUGUGGCUGAGAAGUUCAUUAAACCCUCCCACCUAGAGGAAGGAGAAGUCGUAACA